rnacentral:rRNA from 1 species
GAUGAACGCUGGCGGCGUGCCUAAUACAUGCAAGUCGAGCGAACAGACGAGGAGCUUGCUCCUCUGACGUUAGCGACGGACGGGUGAGGCACACGUGGAUAACCUACCUAGAAGACUGGGGUAACGUCGGGAGACCGGAGCUAAUACAGGAUAAUAUAUUGAACGGGAUGGUUCAAUAGUGAAAGAGGGUUUUGCUGUGCCUUAUAGAGGGAACCGAGCCGCAUUAGCUAGUUGGUAAGGUAACGGCUUACCAAGGCAACGAUGCGUAGCCGACCUGAGAGGGUGAUCGGCCACACUGGAACUGAGACACGGUCCAGACUCCUACGGGAGGCAGCAGUGGGGAAUAUUCCGCAAUGGGCGAAAGCCUGACCGAGCAACGCCGCGUGAGUGAUGAAGGUCUUCGGAUCGUAAAACUCUGUUAUUAGGGAAGAACAAAUGUGUAUGUAAAUAUGCAUGUCUUGACGUUACCUACUCAGAAAGCCACGGCUAACUACGUG